CCUACGGGAGACAGCAGUGAGGAAUAUUGGUCAAUGGACGCGAGCCUGAACCAGCCAAGUCGCGUGAGGGAAGACGGUCCUAUGGGUUGUAAACCUCUUUUAUCUGGGAGUAAAAGGCGCCACGCGUGGCGUUUCGUAAGUACCCGAUGAAAAAGGAUCGGCUAACUCCGUGCCAGCAGCCGCGGUAAUACGGAGGAUGCGAGCGUUAUCCGGAUUUAUUGGGUUUAAAGGGGGCGAAGGCGGAAGGUAAAGUCAGUGGUAAAAUUGAGAGGCUCAACCUCAUCUUGCCGUUGAAACUGGGAUUCUUGAGUGCGGUAGAGGUAUGCGGAAUGCGUGGUGUAGCGGUGAAAUGCAUAGAUAUCACGAAGAACUCCGAUUGCGAAGGCAGCACACUGG
rnacentral:rRNA from 1 species